rnacentral:lncRNA from 1 species
UGCCAGCGGUAGUCCCAACUCUGCCGGGCCACGGCGCGCCGGGCGGCCGCCAACCCGCCGGGCCCCGCCGGGCGCCGCAGGUCCCAGAGUUUGGCCGUCUGGUCCUUGGAGUUGGUCACCAGGUAGCGACCGUCACCCUAUGGGAGGGGACGGGGCGGUGACGUCACGGAUGAGGUCAUCGGGGUGAAGAACGUCAAGGUUGGGGUCAAUGGGCGUGGUAGAACCAUGGAGAACGUCAAAAUUGGGGUCAACGGGGUGAAAAACGUCAUAUUUGGGGUCAAUGGGGUGAAGAACGUCAAGAUUGGGGUCAAUGGGGUGAAAAACGUCAAGAUUGGGGUCAACGGGGUGAAAAACGUCAAGGUUGGGGUCAACGGGGGUGGUAGAACCAUGAGGAACGUCAUAUUUGGGGUCAAUGGGGUGAAAAACGUCAAGAUUGGGGUCAUUGGGGUGAAAAACGUCAUAUUUGGGGUCAAUGGGGUGAAAAACGUCAAGAUUGGGGUCAACGGGGAGAGGAACCGCGAGGAACAUCACGCAUGGAGGGCCACCAGUCCCUCCCAGUCCCUCCCAGUGCCUCCCAGUCCCUCCCAGUGCCUCCCAGUCCCUCCCAGUCUAUUCCAAUCCCCUCCCAGUAUAUCCCAGU